rnacentral:rRNA from 1 species
UGCCAGCCGCCGCGGUAAUACGGAGGGAGCGAGCGUUAAUCGGAAUUACUGGGCGUAAAGCGCGCGUAGGCGGCUUUGUAAGUCGGAUGUGAAAGCCCUGGGCUUAACCUGGGAAUGGCAUUCGAAACUGCAGAGCUAGAGUAUGGUAGAGGGAAGUGGAAUUUCCGGUGUAGCGGUGAAAUGCGUAGAUAUCGGAAGGAACACCAGUGGCGAAGGCGACUAACUGGCUCGGUACUGACGCUGAGAUGCGAAAGCGUGGGGAGCAAACAGGAUUAGAUA